rnacentral:tRNA from 1 species
GCGGAUGUGGCGGAAUUGGUAGACGCGCAGCGCUCAGGACGCUGUGGGAGCAAUCUCGUGGAGGUUCGAGUCCUCUCAUCCGCA